rnacentral:rRNA from 1 species
CCUACGGGGGGCUGCAGUGGGGAAUCUUGCACAAUGGGCGAAAGCCUGAUGCAGCAACGCCGCGUGAGGGACGAAGGCUUUCUGAGUUGUAAACCUCUUUCAGCAGGGACGAUUAUGACGGUACCUGCAGAAGAAGCACCGGCCAACUACGUGCCAGCAGCCGCGGUAAUACGUAGGGUGCAAGCGUUGUCCGGAUUUAUUGGGCGUAAAGAGCUCGUAGGCGGUUUGGCAAGUCGGAUGUGAAACCUCCAGGCUAAACCUGGAGUCGCCAUUCGAUACUGCCAUGACUAGAGUUUGGUAGGGGACCACGGAAUUCCUGGUGUAGCGGUGAAAUGCGCAGAUAUCAGGAGGAACACCAGCGGCGAAGGCGGUGGUCUGGGCCAAUACUGACGCUGAGGAGCGAAAGCGUGGGGAGCGAACAGGAUUAGAUACCCGUGUAGUC